GCCAGUGUGGCAUAAUGGUUAGUGUGUUGGACUAGGACAUGGGAGACUAGGGUUCAAAUCCCCACUCAGCCCUGCA